rnacentral:lncRNA from 1 species
GGGUAACACAUGAAAUAAAAUUCCCUGUUUGCUCUGUUGCCCUGCUUUUCCUUCUGUCUGUCCUUCCUUCCUUCCGUCCAUCUUUAAGAUUAACUUUGAUUCUUUCUCCUUCCAUCUCUGGUUCCUGGGGACUGAUUUAAAGCAGCAUUGCACAAACAGGAGGGAAGCUGAUCUAAAGCUGCAGGUAGUUGUGGCCAUCGUUCCUGGAGAGCUGGCAGCAUACAUGGCCACAAAAGAGCGUGUGGUAGGAAUCAGGAAGAGAAAUGGUAUCAGCUAUUAGAAUGGAGCAUGUGGAUGAUUUGUUGACAUUAUGCAAACAGCAUGGAAUAGCAGUCAUUCAUCUGUAGUACUGUUUUAAGCAUGAUGUUGGCCAACUUUGGAUACCUUGGUACAAGAUGCUGUUGAGUCAAGAAGUAAAAGCAGAGAAGAGCAAUUAAAAUAAACUCACCAGGGACUCUGACUUAGUACGACUCUUGCAUUUGUGACAGGCAAGAAGCAACAGAAAGGAGAUCUGAUGAUGGUCAUCUAUGUGUGGCAGCUGUUUGCUCUGCUGAUGAAGAUUCAGACUCCCAUCUUUUUAGGAGAUAGCACAGGCCAGCCAGUUCAGGAAAGAAUUCAAUGCUUUGCAGAUGGAUGGAUGUUAAAAUGUGUGCAAAUGAAAUGUACAGUGCAGUCUCCGAGAAGCCGAUCAGUUUGUGUAUUCUGUAUAUACUGCUUCAGUGCAUGCUGAAGGCUGAAUCUAUAGGUUGAAUAGAAUUGAUUUUCAUAGAAGCAAUGUUUUACUGCUGUUUUUCUUGUGGUGAUUCUUCUAGCUUUGUUUAGAGAUCUUCAUAGAAAAUAUUUGAUUAAUAAAGAGCCGUGCAAUAUCA